rnacentral:rRNA from 1 species
AUGGCGGGCGCGGCCUCGUUCAGCUUGAACGUCCAAGUUGGCGAGCUGCCCGAGCUCGCCAACUUGGACGACGCGACGGAGGGCCGACGGCUGGUCGAGCACCUGGUGUGCGCCAUCGGCCUCGCCACCGCCUGCAUGUCGGUCGCCCUGGCCAUCUACAAGGCCCCGGCCGGCGUCUUCGACGGCCACGCAGGCGCCUACUACGCGUCCGUCGUCUCCGCCGGCGUCGUCGGCCUGGCCGAGGCCUGCACGGCGGUCGUCUGGCUGUCGGCCGGCGCGGAUGGCCCGCGGCAGGGGCAGCAGCAGCGCAUCCUGCGCCGGUGCGUUCUCUGCGCUUCGCUCUUGCCUCUGGCGGUCAUGUCGGGGCUCGGUGGAGUCCGCAUGCUAGUCAAGUAG